UUCCUUAGCGCACUUAGCGCAUCAUUACCUCCGUCGGACUUUCCGAAGCCUACACACUCGACGACCAGUCGAUUCUAGACGAAGUCUAAUCCUCAGUUUUCGAGAAUUCACUUCCCUUACAUUCUCCCCACCUUAAAAGAGUUUCGUCCUCGAAACGAAUUCAACGAUAUCAAAUUCAUCCAAAGUUAACUCUAAACUCAUACCUCGGCUCAAUCCUCGAAU
rnacentral:lncRNA from 1 species